GACGGAGGAUGCAAGCGUUAUCCGGAAUUAUUGGGCGUAAAGCGUCCGCAGGUGGCAUUUCAAGUCCAAUGUCAAAGACUGGAGCUUAACUCCGGAAAGGCAAGGGAAACUGAAAAGCUAGAGAGUGGUAGGGGUAGAGGGAAUUCCCAGUGUAGCGGUGAAAUGCGUAGAGAUUGGGAAGAACACCAGUGGCGAAGGCGCUCUACUGGACCAGAACUGACACUGAGGGACGAAAGCUAGGGGAGCAAAAGGG
rnacentral:rRNA from 1 species